GACGAACGCUGGCGGCGUGCUUAACACAUGCCAGUCGAACGGAAAGGCCCUGCUUUUGUGGGGUGCUCGAGUGGCGAACGGGUGAGUAACACGUGAGUAACCUGCCCUUGACUUUGGGAUAACUUCAGGAAACUGGGGCUAAUACCGGAUAGGAGCUCCUGCUGCAUGGUGGGGGUUGGAAAGUUUCGGCGGUUGGGGAUGGACUCGCGGCUUAUCAGCUUGUUGGUGGGGUAGUGGCUUACCAAGGCUUUGACGGGUAGCCGGCCUGAGAGGGUGACCGGCCACAUUGGGACUGAGAUACGGCCCAGACUCCUACGGGAGGCAGCAGUGGGGAAUAUUGCACAAUGGGCGGAAGCCGGAUGCAGCAACGCCGCGUGCGGGAUGACGGCCUUCGGGUUGUAAACCGCUUUCGCCUGUGACGAAGCGUGAGUGACGGUAAUGGGUAAAGAAGCACCGGCUAACUACGU
rnacentral:rRNA from 1 species